CGAAUCCAUUUAUGCUGAAUGUGGUGAAACUCUAGCUAAAAAUGACUACUUAUUUUGGCAAUGGAAAAAGUUCUCCUUAAGCUAUACGGAGGCAAUCCGUAAUUACCUGGAAACAUCUAUCAAAGCAAAAACAAUAUUUCCAGCUAUUUCUCAACACAAGAAUAAGGCUUGGAAAGUUUCCUCAUUGAUUCCGAAGCGAUAUCGUAUUGUAUAGAUUGGAAUAAGUUUUGAUCUAUAGCCAUCUCUUGCUGAAUAAAGCCUUACCACACUCCACCAGAAGUGAGACUGCUUUCUCGGUUCCACACGUGUUCUGAACUGGCAUCUACUGAGCUGGAUGUUAUGAAAUACUCGCUACAGAUGACAUCAAAAUAUUAAAUCCAAGUAUAGUCGGUUCCUUUUUUAUAAUACUAAAAUUGUAGAAAUAACAUUCUUUAAUCGCUUUUUUUUUUGUCUUAUAGAAGGCAAAUUUCCCCUUAUCUGUAAGGGGAAGAACAUUAUUAUUUGUAAACCUUUAUCAAAACAGAAGCAGCAUAUCCAGCA